rnacentral:lncRNA from 1 species
AUUUAGAAUUGUUUCGUUUAGAGUCACAUCAGUAAGAGUCCUGAUUUUAAUCUUUGUCUGCAUUAUUGGUUCAGCAUUGAUCCAUAGAUGUUUUUUGAUCUUUGGAUAUUGCUGCAUUGCAAUGGUUUCACAUUCAUGUCUAAGGGCAGGUUAAGUAUUCCUAUGUUGAUAACCCUUAUUUUGAGCAAUUUUUGCUCACCGAGUGCCGACUUGCCUGAUCAGGCCAUCCAACUAAUGUCCUGCUUAUUAGAGGAGCAGCACAUACGUGGUUUUGAAACUUAGCACCACCCCUAGCGACAGCUACGCAACACAAUGCCUUUGAUCUCUUUUUUUACACAGACGAUAGGGGAGCUCUCGGCCCCGUAGUCGUUCUAGCUCACUUUUCCCCAACCAGCAAAUUACAGGAUGACACACUGCAACUUCAUGAGUAUGUCUCGUGAUUACCACCAGGUUUGGUGGUGUCGCUACAAUCCGAUUGGCUGAUGGGUAUAGAUGGUUUUGCAUGUGCCUUGGCAGCAAUGAACCAGUGACUCCAAGAAACUUUAGGUCCUGUGAGCUAUUAGCCUACCGUACUG